rnacentral:lncRNA from 1 species
CGGCCGGUGGCCCGAAUCGCCGGGGCUGGGCGGUGGGAGAGCAGGCAGCCAAAACCACGCGGCAGUCCUCCCUCUCUCCCGCCUCACCGGAUCUCGCUCUCCGUCUACCUCCCGAUCCGGCUCCCCAUGCGAGCCUAUCCUUGCGAGCUUUCCUCCUUUUUCGCUCCCCCCGGCUAAAAAGCUCGAGAGGGGUCGAAUCGCACACAGAGGUGAGCUCGCGGGAGGCGCGUCUGGGUCGUCGGCGGCGGCGCCGGGAGGGCGAAGCGGCGGGUGGGUCGAUCGCCGGGGAGGGAGGGAGGGAGGAGGAGGAGGCGGCGGUGUGUGAUGCGAUGCUCUCUGGCUCCGAUGAUGCGAUUGGACCGAUCU